GUUUCCAUCCUUUAGGAAGACCCUGGAACGUGCCAGUUGAUUCUGACAAUUUCUCAUGGACAGAAAUACCUAGGAAGGGAGAACUGGAUUUAUUUAAUGGGGAUGUGUUCAAGGCAAGACCGAAUUCAGAAGGAUAUCGACGUCGUGAUCCAGAAGUCCAGAGCUGAGGACUGCCUGUUUGCAG
rnacentral:lncRNA from 1 species